UUGGUGGGGUAAUGGCCUACCAAGGCGACGACGGGUAGCCGGCCUGAGAGGGCGACCGGCCACACUGGGACUGAGACACGGCCCAGACUCCUACGGGAGGCAGCAGUGGGGAAUAUUGCGCAAUGGGCGAAAGCCUGACGCAGCGACGCCGCGUGAGGGAUGAAGGCCUUCGGGUUGUAAACCUCUUUCAGCAGGGAAGAAGCGAAAGUGACGGUACCUGCAGAAGAAGCACCGGCUAACUACGUGCCAGCAGCCGCGGUAAUACGUAGGGUGCAAGCGUUGUCCGGAAUUAUUGGGCGUAAAGAGCUCGUAGGCGGUCUGUCGCGUCUGCUGUGAAAACUCGGGGCUUAACCCCGGGCCUGCAGUGGGUACGGGCAGACUAGAGUGCGGUAGGGGAGACUGGAAUUCCUGGUGUAGCGGUGAAAUGCGCAGAUAUCAGGAGGAACACCGGUGGCGAAGGCGGGUCUCUGGGCCGUAACUGACGCUGAGGAGCGAAAGCGUGGGGAGCGAACAGGAUUAGAUACCCUGGUAGUCCACGCCGUAAACGUUGGGCGCUAGGUGUGGGGCUCUUUCCACGAGUUCCGUGCCGCAGCUAACGCAUUAAGCGCCCCGCCUGGGGAGUACGG
rnacentral:rRNA from 1 species